rnacentral:rRNA from 1 species
UACAGAGGGUGCGAGCGUUAAUCGGAAUUACUGGGCGUAAAGCGUGCGUAGACGGUUAUUUAAGUCGGGUGUGAAAGCCCCGGGCUCAACCUGGGAAUUGCAUUCGAGACUGAAUAGCUAGGGUACGGUAGAGGGAAGUGGAAUUUCCGGUGUAGCGGUGAAAUGCGUAGAUAUCGGAAGGAACGCCGGUGGCGAAAGCGACGUGCUGGACACCUUCUGACGCUGAGACGCGAAAGCGUGGGGAGCAAACAGG